rnacentral:rRNA from 1 species
AGAAUCAACGCUGGCGGCGUGCCUCAGACAUGCAAGUCGUACGAUUAAAGCUCUCUUCGGAGAGUGCAUAAAGUGGCGUACGGGUGAGUAACACGUAAGUAAUCUACCUUUGAGUGGGAAUAACAGUCGGAAACGACUGCUAAUACCGCAUAAUGCAGCGGCUCGACAUCGAGACAGUUGUUAAAGAAUUUAUUCGCUUAAAGAGGAGCUUGCGGCAGAUUAGCUAGUUGGUAAGGUAAUGGCUUACCAAGGCAACGAUCUGUA